rnacentral:lncRNA from 1 species
GCUGUUUAAAAGCGUGAAGCCAGUGCGCAUGACUGAAAGCGGAAAGCGCAUUAUUCCGCGUGUUUCUUUUGUUAAAGUCUGAAAGUGACACGGCGCCCACUGGGACAAAGGACAUGCAAAAUGUGGGGCCAUUAGCCUGCUACCCUUUAAGAGUGGGGUUCGUGUUUCUCUGAGACCCAGGCCCUUCAUCUAGGCCUCGGAUGCCCUGUAGGAAACGGAGGGCGCAAGGCAAGACCUUCACUGUGCAGCCUUCAUUGCCUAAAGCUUUAGUUUCAGCUGUCGCCGAAGGUAGCGCCUGGGCGGUCGCGUGGCAGGGGAGAACCGCCACAGCACGCGGCGGUUCCGCACUUGUACGCGGCCACUCCACGGGCCUUGCGCAAUCCAGCGUGGACUGUGUGACGCGACUGCAUUCCGGUCUCGCGGAGGCACCGAGGCGCGGCCUGGGCAGAAGAAACGCGCACUGGGGCGGGGCCGGAAGUCCCGCCCCCUUUGGACUCCGCCUUCCAAGCCACCGCCUGUUCGCCCGGCUGUGUGCCGCUUUCUCCGUCAGGCCCUGA